rnacentral:rRNA from 1 species
AGACCCGAAACCCGGUGAUCUAGCCAUGGGCAGGUUGAAGGUUGGGUAACACUAACUGGAGGACCGAACCGACUAAUGUUGAAAAAUUAGCGGAUGACCUGUGGCUGGGGGUGAAAGGCCAAUCAAACCGGGAGAUAGCUGGUUCUCCCCGAAAGCUAUUUAGGUAGCGCCUCGUGAAUUCAUCUCCGGGGGUAGAGCACUGUUUCGGCUAGGGGGCCAUCCCGGCUUACCAACCCGAUGCAAACUGCGAAUACCGGAGAAUGUUAUCACGGGAGACACACGGCGGGUGCUAACGUCCGUCGUGAAGAGGGAAACAACCCAGACCGCCAGCUAAGGUCCCAAAGUCAUGGUUAAGUGGGAAACGAUGUGGGAAGGCCCAGACAGCCAGGAUGUUGGCUUAGAAGCAGCCAUCAUUUAAAGAAAGCGUAAUAGCUCACUGGUCGAGUCGGCCUGCGCGGAAGAUGUAACGGGGCUAAACCAUGCACCGAAGCUGCGGCAGCGACGCUUAUGCGUUGUUGGGUAGGGGAGCGUUCUGUAAGCCUGUGAAGGUGGCCUGUGAGGGUUGCUGGAGGUAUCAGAAGUGCGAAUGCUGACAUAAGUAACGAUAAAGCGGGUGAAAAGCCCGCUCGCCGGAAGACCAAGGGUUCCUGUCCAACGUUAAUCGGGGCAGGGUGAGUCGACCCCUAAGGCGAGGCCGAAAGGCGUAGUCGAUGGGAAACGGGUUAAUAUUCCCGUACUUGGUGUUACUGCGAAGGGGGGACGGAGAAGGCUAUGUUGGCCGGGCGACGGUUGUCCCGGUUUAAGCGUGUAGGUGUGUGUUCCAGGUAAAUCCGGUUCACUUUAACACUGAGGCGUGACGACGAGGCACUACGGUGCUGAAGCAACAAAUGCCCUGCUUCCAGGAAAAGCCUCUAAGCAUCAGGUAACAUCAAAUCGUACCCCAAACCGACACAGGUGGUCAGGUAGAGAAUACCAAGGCGCUUGAGAGAACUCGGGUGAAGGAACUAGGCAAAAUGGUGCCGUAACUUCGGGAGAAGGCACGCUGACACGUAGGUGAAGUGAUUUACUCAUGGAGCUGAAGUCAGUCGAAGAUACCAGCUGGCUGCAACUGUUUAUUAAAAACACAGCACUGUGCAAACACGAAAGUGGACGUAUACGGUGUGACGCCUGCCCGGUGCCGGAAGGUUAAUUGAUGGGGUCAGCGCAAGCGAAGCUCCUGAUCGAAGCCCCGGUAAACGGCGGCCGUAACUAUAACGGUCCUAAGGUAGCGAAAUUCCUUGUCGGGUAAGUUCCGACCUGCACGAAUGGCGUAAUGAUGGCCAGGCUGUCUCCACCCGAGACUCAGUGAAAUUGAACUCGCUGUGAAGAUGCAGUGUACCCGCGGCAAGACGGAAAGACCCCGUGAACCUUUACUAUAGCUUGACACUGAACAUUGAGCCUUGAUGUGUAGGAUAGGUGGGAGGCUUUGAAGUGUGGAC